AUAGGUCCAAAUGGCCCAAGAGAGAUUUGAUUUGGGCUGGAUCCAAAAAUAAUGACCCAAUAUAGAUUUGUUAUUAAUAUUACUUAAUUGCCCUUAAUGAAACAUGCAAUGUUAGUGAAGGAAACAUGCCCCUAAGGUAAUUAUGACAAUAGGAUCCUGCUUUAAUAGUAUAGACUAGAUUUUGACUCGCGCUUUGAAAGCGCGGGAUUUUUCUUUUCGGUUCUAUUUCGAUUGUUGUUUUAAGUUUUUAGGUUAAAGAGAUAAAACUGUUUGAUUAUGUAUAGAUUUGGCUCAAAUUAUUUGACCUGAUUAGUUUUUGAUAUUUGGUACAUUGAUUCCGUUCAUGGUUUAGUUCUAAUUUAGUUCAAUUUUUCAUGUUCUACAAAUAUAUAAAUCAAAGCGCAUGAUUUUUUUUUUCAUAAUUUUUUUUUAGAUUAAAAAGAUAUAAAAACCAUUUGAUUAUGUAUAGAUUUGGCUCAAAUUAUUUGACCUGAUUAGUUUUUGAUAUUUGGUACAUUGAUUCCGUUCAUGGUUUAGUUCUAAUUUAGUUCAAUUUUUCAUGUUCUACAAAUAUAUAAAUCAAAGCGCAGGAUUUUUUUUGUCAUAAUUAUUUUUUAGAUAAAAAAGAUAUAAAAACCAUUCGAUUAUGUAUAGAUUUGGCUCAAAUUAUUUGACGUGAUUAGUUUUUGAUAUUUGGUACAUUGAUUCGGUUUUGGUUUAGUUCUAAUUUAGUUCAAUUUUUCAUGUUCUAUAAAUAUAUAAUUCAUUCUGAUUUAUAUGAACAUUUUUUCUUCUUUACUUUACAAUUUUGAGUUUGGUUAUGUUUUAGUUUGGUUCGAUUUAUAUGUGGAGGUUUAAAUUUAUUUAAAAAAACUUGUCUUGCAUUUGACUCAUAACCAGUGUUUUUGAAACCCGAUCCGGACCGGCCGCGAUUGAACCAGUAGACCCGGUGAUCCAGAAAAAGUCUGGUUUGGAUUUUGUGAAAAAUUCAAUACUUAGAAACCCGCAAAAACCAGUAAAACCUGGAACUCGAUACCGGUUGAACAACAAGGUGAACCAAUAAAUAACUUCUUUUUUUUUAGUUUUAAAUUAUGUUUUAUAUUUUCAGUUUCUAAUUAAGAAGUUAGGUGCUGACAAAAAAAAAAAUAUUAGGUUUUCCCUUUUCAGUUUUAUAUUUGUGAUUUUUAGAUUUUGAUGAAGAUUUCACUAUGCCACCUGAAGAAAAUGAAAUGAAAGAUGGUAGAGAGAACCAAAAUUAGUUGAGGUGAAUUGGUGUUAGUUUAUUUCCGUUAUUGACAAUUAUUACAAUGGUUUUUUACUUUUGGUUUAUUUUGUAUUUGAAGUUUAAUUUAUUAUUUACAUUAGAUAUUUAAAUAUUUAUAAAUUUUAUGUCUUGAUUUUUUAAAGAUAUCAUAACUCUUACCUUGUUAGAGAAAAUUUUAAAUAGUCUAAACUAUUUUUUGAUAUUUUGUAUGUCAAUUGAAAAUAAAAAAAUAUAAAAACUAAAGUUAAGUAUUUUUGAAAUGUUUUUAAACAUAAAAUAUAUACAUAUCCAAACUAUUAUUUUAAGUUUUCAAAAACAUUUAGAAAAUAUUAAACUUUAGUUUCUAUAUUUUUAUUUACAUAGCUGAUAUAUUAUUAUAUAAUAAAAUUAAUUCAUUUAUUAACUCACGAUUCAGCCGCGGUCAACCCAGUGACCCAGCAAUCCGGUAUGUCAUCCGGUUCAGUGUUCGGGUUGGGUUUUAAAACAUUGCUCAUAACUGAUUUUAAAAUAUUUUUAAUGAUAAAUUUUAUAACAAAUUAUAAAUUUAAUGCUUAAAAUUUAAAUAUAAGUAAAGAUUUUGCUACAUCAAAUUUUAAUUUGGAACAAUAAACUAAAUGCAAAGUCUUCUACUUUAUUACAUUUAAUUCUGAAAAACGCUGAUCAUAUUUAUUUCAAAAACAUUCUGCAUACAUUGGCCAAGGUAUUAAAGACUUUUAAAAAAAUGUUUCAAAAAGAAAAGUCAAUCGCUAAUACAAAAGUUUCAAUUUUAUGUCAAAUACUAAUUGAAUACAACUAUUGGAAAAACAGGAUAAUAAUUCAUGUUGGGGUAUUAUUCAAGUAAGUUGGGCUUAUAAUUCAUGUUGAAAUAUUUUCAAUAUUGUUCAGACCCACAACAGGUUAAUAGUACCAACCGAAAAAGAUAAGCUGUCAUUUUGACAUUCCACAAUUAGCUUCCUCAGAAAAAAAAAUGUUCGUCUCUGGAUCAAAAUGUUCGGUAAACAGAGAUCUGAUGAAACUUGCUCCAUCAACACAGAUCGUUAAAGGUUGAUUCUGUCAGUGUCGUCUAUGUCUGAAGAAGAUCAUAAAAGUCAUAUCUCAAGACAAAAAAAAGAUCUAAAGCUAAAGGAUACAUAAAGAUCGAUCUCUUCAGAAUAUGUUUCAUGUCACCCGAUGAGUUAUGCCGUUAAAUGCUUGUGGAUCAAUGAUCGGGAGAAAAUUGCUUACUCAAUACCUUCAACUUCUUGUUCUAAAGAUAAGUCUUUCAUUUUUUCACAUUUUUAAAGUUUUAUGCUAUAAUAUAAUAUCCGUUCAUAUUCAAAUUUUGCGUUUUGAUUUUACUGAAUGGUUUGAAAAUUUGUAUCAAUACAUACUUGAGGACACAAGCUUUCGUAUACAUACUUGAUCGAGGACACAAGCUUUCGUACUUUAGUUGAUUUAUUAUUUAAUCAAAGUUUCCAGAUUGAAUAUAUUAGUGUUUGAUUAUUGGAUGUUUGAAUCUUUACUAAAUUACAAUAUAAUUAUGUUGGUAUCAAUAGUAAUUACUUUUUAUUUGUUGAUUAAAAGGAACCCUCUCAAAGCGUUAUGUGAACUUCAUGAUUUGUUUGUUUUUGAUUGCUAACACUCACUGUAUUUUUGUCCGUUUAUUUUAGUGUUCCUAUGAUUGUAUUAAAUAUUGGUAUCUACAUUUAAGAUCUCUGUCAUGAACUAUUAUUGUUUAGUUUAUUAGAUUAUGAUAAUCAGAAACGGUAAAAGGAUCUCCAAUCUUAAAAUUUCUAAUUGAUAUAUCAUUUGUUAUUCAGUACAUAGCUCAUUUAUUUUCAAUAUAGUUUGAUUAUUGUUUCAUGAACCUUUAUUCUCUGGUUUGUUUCAGGAGUAAAUGAAAAUGGUUACAAUCUAUACCAAACAAAGGUUCCUCUUAUUACCAGUUUGCAGAAUCCAAUAAACGUUCAAGCUUGGUAUUGCUGGAACAUCAUUCUCAAUAUACAAAGAGAUGGUACAUCUAAUCUAUAAGAAAGGAAAAUUAGUGUUGAUACAAUUGAAGUUUGUUUAAAAUGUAGAUGUUACUUUGUUAUUUAAUGAUACGUUAUGUUUCAUUAGGAAGACAUUAUGUUACUUUUAAAAUAAAAGAAUUAUGUAGCUGUAA